rnacentral:rRNA from 1 species
CGUGCAGGCGGUCGGGUAAGUUGGAUGUGAAAGCUCCUGGCUUAACUGGGAGAGGUCGUUCAAAACUGCCGGGCUAGAGUGCAACAGAGGGGAGUGGAAUUCCGAGUGUAGCGGUAAAAUGCAUAGAUAUUCGGAAGAACACCAGUGGCGAAGGCGGCUCUCUGGGUUGCAACUGACGCUCAGACGCGAAAGCUAGGGUAGCGAACGGGAUUAGAGACCCCGGUAGUCCUAGCCGUAAACGAUGUGGACUUGGCGUGGGUGGGUUGAAAUCCAUCUGUGCCGAAGCAAACGCGAUAAGUCCACCACCUGGGGACUACGGCCGCAAGGUUAAA